rnacentral:rRNA from 1 species
AUAAUGGGUCAGCGACUUAUAUUCUGUAGCAAGGUUAACCGAAUAGGGGAGCCGAAGGGAAACCGAGUCUUAACUGGGCGUUAAGUUGCAGGGUAUAGACCCGAAACCCGGUGAUCUAGCCAUGGGCAGGUUGAAGGUUGGGUAACACUAACUGGAGGACCGAACCGACUAAUGUUGAAAAAUUAGCGGAUGACUUGUGGCUGGGGGUGAAAGGCCAAUCAAACCGGGAGAUAGCUGGUUCUCCCCGAAAGCUAUUUAGGUAGCGCCUCGUGAAUUCAUCUCCGGGGGUAGAGCACUGUUUCGGCAAGGGGGUCAUCCCGACUUACCAACCCGAUGCAAACUGCGAAUACCGGAGAAUGUUAUCACGGGAGACACACGGCGGGUGCUAACGUCCGUCGUGAAGAGGGAAACAACCCAGACCGCCAGCUAAGGUCCCAAAGUCAUGGUUAAGUGGGAAACGAUGUGGGAAGGCCCAGACAGCCAGGAUGUUGGCUUAGAAGCAGCCAUCAUUUAAAGAAAGCGUAAUAGCUCACUGGUCGAGUCGGCCUGCGCGGAAGAUGUAACGGGGCUAAACCAUGCACCGAAGCUGCGGCAGCGACGCUGAUGCGUUGUUGGGUAGGGGAGCGUUCUGUAAGCCUGCGAAGGUGUGCUGUGAGGCAUGCUGGAGGUAUCAGAAGUGCGAAUGCUGACAUAAGUAACGAUAAAGCGGGUGAAAAGCCCGCUCGCCGGAAGACCAAGGGUUCCUGUCCAACGUUAAUCGGGGCAGGGUGAGUCGACCCCUAAGGCGAGGCCGAAAGGCGUAGUCGAUGGGAAACAGGUUAAUAUUCCUGUACUUGGUGUUACUGCGAAGGGGGGACGGAGAAGGCUAUGUUGGCCGGGCGACGGUUGUCCCGGUUUAAGCGUGUAGGCUGGUUUUCCAGGCAAAUCCGGAAAAUCAAGGCUGAGGCGUGAUGACGAGGCACUGCGGUGCUGAAGCAACAAAUGCCCUGCUUCCAGGAAAAGCCUCUAAGCAUCAGGUAACAUCAAAUCGUACCCCAAACCGACACAGGUGGUCAGGUAGAGAAUACCAAGGCGCUUGAGAGAACUCGGGUGAAGGAACUAGGCAAAAUGGUGCCGUAACUUCGGGAGAAGGCACGCUGAUAUGUAGGUGAAGUCCCUCGCGGAUGGAGCUGAAAUCAGUCGAAGAUACCAGCUGGCUGCAACUGUUUAUUAAAAACACAGCACUGUGCAAACACGAAAGUGGACGUAUACGGUGUGACGCCUGCCCGGUGCCGGAAGGUUAAUUGAUGGGGU